GAUGAACGCUAGCUACAGGCUUAACACAUGCAAGUCGAGGGGCAGCGGGAUUGAAGCUUGCUUCCAUUGCCGGCGACCGGCGCACGGGUGAGUAGCGCGUAUCCAACCUUCCGUACACUCAGGGAUAGCCUUUCGAAAGAAAGAUUAAUACCUGAUGGUAUGAUGAGAUUGCAUGAUAUCAUCAUUAAAGAUUUAUCGGUGUACGACGGGGAUGCGUUCCAUUAGGUAGUAGGCGGGGUAACGGCCCACCUAGCCAACGAUGGAUAGGGGUUCUGAGAGGAAGGUCCCCCACAUUGGAACUGAGACACGGUCCAAACUCCUACGGGAGGCAGCAGUGAGGAAUAUUGGGCAAGGGACGAGAGUCUGAACCAGCCAAGUAGCGUGAAGGAUGAAGGUCCUACGGAUUGUAAACUUCUUUUAUAAGGGAAUAAACCCUCCCACGUGUGGGAGCUUGUAUGUACCUUAUGAAUAAGCAUCGGCUAACUCCGUG
rnacentral:rRNA from 1 species